rnacentral:rRNA from 1 species
AACCCGCCCACCAUGAAGUUGGAGUUGCUAGUAAUCGCGGAUCAGCAUGCCGCGGUGAAUACGUUCCCGGGCCUUGUACACACCGCCCGUCACACCAUGGGAGUUGGGAGCGCCCGAAGCCGGUGAGGUAACCGAGAGGAGCCAGCCGUCGAAGGUGAGACCAAUGACUGGGGUGAAGUCGUAACAAGGUAAC